AGUGGAUGGGGAGCAACCUAGUUGUGCGUGUGUAAAGGUAGUGCCAAGAAAAGCGAUGAUCAUGUUGAAAAUCAAUUCCCGGUACCCGAAACCGACACAGGUGGGCAAGUAGAGAAUACUAAGGGGCGCGAGGUAACUCUCUCCAAGGAACUCGGCAAAAUGACCCCGUAACUUAGGGAGAAGGGGUGCCACCGAGAGGUGGUCGCAGUGAAGAGGCCCAGGCGACUGUUUAGCAAAAACAUAGGUCUCUGCAAACUCGAAAGAGGAGGUAUAGGGGCUGACGCCUGCCCAGUGCCGGAAGGUUAAAGAAGUUGGUCAGUUUUAGGAUGAAGCUAGCGACUGAAGCCCCGGUGAACGGCGGCCGUAACUAUAACGGUCCUAAGGUAGCGAAAUUCCUUGUCGGGUAAGUUCCGACCCGCACGAAAGGCGUAACGAUCUGGGCGCUGUCUCGGAGAGAGGCUCGGCGAAAUAGGAUUGUCUGUGAAGAUACGGACUACCUGCAUUUGGACAGAAAGACCCUAUGAAGCUUUACUAUAGCUUGGAAUUGUGUUCGGGCUUCCUGUGCGCAGGAUAGGUGGGAGGCGUAGAAGGUAUUCUUGUGGGGAUACUGGAGCCAACGGUGAGAUACCACUCUCAGGAGGCUAGAAUUCUAACUUAAUUAAGGACAGUUUCAGGUGGGUAGUUUGACUGGGGCGGUCGCCUCCAAAAAGGUAACGGAGGCGUACAAAGGUUCCCUCAGACUGGUUGGAAAUCAGUCGAAGAGUGCAAAGGCAGAAGGGAGCUUGACUGCGAGAAGUACAGUUCGAGCAGGGUGGAAACACGGUCUUAGUGAUCCGACGGUGCUGUGUGGAAGGGCCGUCGUUCAACGGAUAAAAGUUACUCUAGGAUAACAGGCUGAUCUCCCCCAAGAGUUCACAUCGACGGGGAGGUUUGGCACCUCGAUGUCGGCUCAUCGCAACCUGGGGCGGAAGUACGUCCCAAGGGUUGGGCUGUUCGCCCAUUAAAGCGGUACGUGAGCUGGGUUCAGAACGUCGUGAGACAGUUCGGUCCAUAUCCGAUGUAGGCGUGAGAAUAUUGAGAGGAGCCUUCCUUAGUACGAGAGGACCGGGAAGGACGCACCGCUGGUGUACCUGUUAUGAUGCCAAUUGUAAACGCAGGGUAGCCAAGUGCGGAGAGGAUAACCGCUGAAAGCAUCUAAGUGGGAAGCCCACCUCAAGAUGAGUAUUCUGGUGUAAGGUCACGGGAAGACGACCCGUAAAUAGGCACGAGGUGGAAGUGCAGAGAUGUAUGAAGCCGAAGUGUACUAAUAGACCGUCGGCUU
rnacentral:rRNA from 1 species